CCGCGGCGGCUCAUGAUGUGCCUGGAGAGCGACGGCUCGUCAAGCGGAGGCCCGCCGGGCUGCAGCGGGCGCCUCCGGGUCUCGGCCGUUGCUGGCACGGGCGACGACGACGACGAGGACGACGGAGGAGGAGGAAGCGGGGACAGCGGCUGCUGCGGGCGGAGCGGCGAGGUGCAGACCCUGUCGGGCGCCGUCCACGCGCCCCAGGGCGGCGCCGACAAGGCAGCAGCGGCCGCGGGCGCCGCGCCUCCCAGCCUGGGCAGAGCGCGCGUGGCAGCCGCCGCCAUCCUCAGCGUGGGAAACGUCCUCAACUACCUGGACAGGUACACCGUGGCAGGUGUUUUGCUAGACAUUCAGCAACAUUUCGGAGUCAAGGACAGCGGAGCCGGCUUGCUGCAGACAGUUUUCAUCUGCAGCUUCAUGGUAGCAGCCCCAAUAUUUGGCUACCUGGGUGACCGUUUCAACAGGAAAAUUAUUCUCAGCUGCGGCAUUUUCUUCUGGUCGGCCAUCACCUUUUCCAGCUCCUUCAUCACUGAGCAGUAUUUCUGGCUGUUUGUCCUCUCGCGGGGUUUGGUCGGCAUCGGCGAAGCCAGCUACUCCACCAUUGCUCCCACCAUCAUCGGAGACCUCUUCACCAAAAACACCCGGACCCUCAUGCUCUCCGUUUUUUAUUUCGCAAUCCCUUUGGGCAGCGGUUUAGGGUACAUCACUGGAUCAAGCGUCAAGCAAGUAGCUGGUGACUGGCACUGGGCCCUUCGGGUCUCCCCGCUUUUGGGCAUGAUCACCGGCACACUCAUCUUAAUAUUUGUUCCAGCUGCUAAGAGAGGCAACGCCGAGCAGCUAGGGGCGCAGCUGAAGGCUCGGACCUCCUGGCUGAGGGACAUGAAGGCCUUGAUAAGGAACCGCAGCUACGUCUUUUCCUCUCUGGCUACCUCGGCUGUCUCCUUCGCCACGGGGGCCCUGGGGAUGUGGAUCCCACUCUACCUCCACCGGGCACAAGUGGUCCAGAAAACGGCAGAGACCUGCACAUCUCAGCCCUGCGGGACCAAGGACAGCUUGAUCUUCGGAGCUAUCACUUGCUUCACCGGAUUUCUGGGCGUGAUCACCGGGGCCGGCGCGACCAAGUGGUGCCGUUUGAAGACGCAGCGGGCGGAUCCCCUCGUCUGCGCCGUCGGGAUGUUGGGUUCAGCCAUCUUCACCUGCCUGAUCUUCGUUGCGGCAAAGAGCAGCAUUGUGGGAGCCUAUGUCUGCAUUUUUAUCGGUGAGACUCUCUUGUUUUCAAACUGGGCCAUCACCGCUGACAUACUCAUGUACGUGGUUAUCCCUACACGCCGGGCAACUGCAGUAGCUUUGCAAAGCUUCACCUCACACCUUCUGGGAGACGCUGGGAGCCCUUACCUGAUUGGAUUUAUCUCUGACCUGAUUCGCCAGAGCACAAAGGAAUCACCGCUCUGGGAAUUCCUCAGCUUGGGCUACGCGCUCAUGCUCUGCCCUUUUGUCGUCGUUCUGGGAGGGAUGUUUUUCCUAGCCACGGCCCUCUUCUUCCUUAGCGACCGAGCCAGAGCGGAUCAACACACGGAUUUGGACCGCCUCGCCAUGGGCACCUCCAGUAACUCGGAAGACACAGCCACAUGACCGCUACAACUUGGGAGUAAAUCAACUCAUGAUGCCCCCAGCCUCUGUGAAAGUCUAAGGCGCUGACGUCCCGGAUGAUGAAGGAAAGCUUUUGUGAGCUCUGGCGGCCGCCGAACCCCAAAACGAGCACCUGCAGGAGACACCCUCCCUCCUUCCCCCCCGAUCCACCCUUUCCGGAACAUGGAGCCGCGGAAAAUUCAUCCCGGGGAACCGAUUGCACAGCGACACGGUGUUACUUCAGC